UGGGACAAAUCUCCCAUCAGUUAAUAUGCCGGGGGACUGACGGCUCCCUGAAAGGAAUCACCGGAUUAGUCCGUGCCAGCAGCCGCGGUAAUACGGAGGGUGCAAGCGUUGUUCGGAAUUAUUGGGCGUAAAGCGCGUGUAGGCGGCUGUUUAAGUCUGAUGUGAAAGCCCUGGGCUCAACCCGGGAAGUGCAUUGGAAACUGGAUAGCUUGAGUACGGGAGAGGGUAGUGGAAUUCCGAGUGUAGGGGUGAAAUCCGUAGAUAUUCGGAGGAACACCGGUGGCGAAGGCGGCUACCUGGACCGAUACUGACGCUGAGACGCGAAAGCGUGGGGAGCAAACAGGAUUAGAUACCCUGGUAGUCCACGCCGUAAACGAUGGGUACUAGGUGUCGCGGGUAUUGACCCCUGCGGUGCCGAAGCUAACGCAUUAAGUACCCCGCCUGGGGAGUACGGCCGCAAGGCUAAAACUCAAA
rnacentral:rRNA from 1 species